rnacentral:rRNA from 1 species
UACGUAGGGCGCGAGCGUUGUCCGGAAUUAUUGGGCGUAAAGAGCUCGUAGGUGGCUUGUUGCGUCUGCCGUGAAAGCCCGUGGCUUAACUACGGGUCUGCGGUGGAUACGGGCAGGCUAGAGGCUGGUAGGGGCAAGCGGAAUUCCUGGUGUAGCGGUGAAAUGCGCAGAUAUCAGGAGGAACACCGGUGGCGAAGGCGGUUCUCUGGGCCUUACCUGACGCUGAGGAGCGAAAGCGUGGGGAGCGAACAGG